rnacentral:rRNA from 1 species
GACGAACGCUGGUGGCGUGCCUAAUACAUGCAAGUCGAGCGGACCAAUAGAAGCUUGCUUCUGUUGGUUAGCGGCGGACGGGUGAGUAACACGUGGGCAACCUGCCUGUAAGACUGGGAUAACUUCGGGAAACCGGAGCUAAUACCGGAUAAUUCAUCCCCUCGCAUGAGGGGAUGGUGACAGCCGGUUUACGCUGACACUUACAGAUGGGCCCGCGGCGCAUUAGCUAGUUGGUGAGGUAAUGGCUCACCAAGGCGACAAUGCGUAGCCGACCUGAGAGGGUGAUCGGCCACACUGGGACUGAGACACGGCCCAGACUCCUACGGGAGGCAGCAGUAGGGAAUCUUCCACAAUGGACGAAAGUCUGAUGGAGCAACGCCGCGUGAGCGAUGAAGGCCUUCGGGUCGUAAAGCUCUGUUGUUAGGGAAGAACAAGUAUCGGAGUAACUGCCGGUACCUUGACGGUACCUAACCAGAAAGCCACGGCUAACUACGUGCCAGCCGCCGCCGUAA